AGCGAACGCUGGCGGCAUGCUUAACACAUGCAAGUCGCACGGCCAGCAAUGGCAGUGGCGGACGGGUGAGUAACGCGUAGGAAUCUGUCGAUGGGUGGGGGACAACCGUGGGAAACUACGGCUAAUACCGCAUGACGCCUGAGGGCCAAAGCUCGCGAGAGCGCCUGUUGAGGAGCCUGCGUCUGAUUAGCUAGUUGGUGGGGUAAAGGCCUACCAAGGCUGCGAUCAGUAGCUGGUCUGAGAGGAUGAUCAGCCACAUUGGGACUGAGACACGGCCCAAACUCCUACGGGAGGCAGCAGUGGGGAAUAUUGGACAAUGGGCGCAAGCCUGAUCCAGCAAUGCCGCGUGGGUGAAGAAGGUCUUCGGAUUGUAAAGCCCUUUUGGCAGGGACGAUGAUGACGGUACCUGCAGAAUAAGCCCCGGCUAACUUCGUGCCAGCCGCCGCCGUAACAC
rnacentral:rRNA from 1 species